UGCAACACUGCAACAAGUUUCAGAGAGUUGUAUUUCCUAUUGCAAGUUUCCGUAUAUUGAUGAUAGAAUUUUUUUCAACAAUGCAUUAGUUUGCUUACAAGCUGAUCUUCCUUUUAUUGGUGACCUCAAAAUCUAGAUUUUGAGUACCGGAAAGAAUAAGAUUCAUCAACAAUUGCUCUGUUUGGAUUCAAGAUCAUAAAAUGAGUUAAAUCAAUACCCUUGGUUUAGCAGUGUGCAUGACUGAUUAGCAUAAAGACGCUAAAGCCAAUAGAGAUGGUUUCUAAGUUUACAUACUACCUACGGCAGCCUGAAAUCUCGAGCCAUGUACUCUCUUAGGCUGUAUGACAGACGCAUAUGGCCAGAAUUCUCUUAUCACCUAAUUUUACAUGUUGUCUACUCUGUGCUAUACUUCUUACCCUGUGUUUGACAUAAGCAGAUGUAUAAGAAGUUAGCUUUUGGGGUGUCUGUUCUUAUGUUGUAUCUUUGAUUCAAUCAAUGCGUGUUGUACAGCUCGCCUAGGCUAAAUUGUCUUCUUUA